ACAUAGAAUUUACACAUUAUUUCUACCUGCUGAGGUGCUAUGCCGAAGAUAACCGGGAGUUCAAUAGUGCCUGCAACUUUGACCGGAUCGUUGCUGAAGCCGUAUAAAGGAGCCUCCUGCCCGACCUCCAUUUUCUGCCCAUUAAGAUGCAUCCUCUGAUAGGCAUGGGCAUAUAAAAUAUCCACCGAAGACCCAUUGUCUAUCAUCAUGCGUUUCACGUCCAC
rnacentral:lncRNA from 1 species